CAGAUCAUCUCCAAGAAGAACCGCCGCGAGAUCUGCAAGUACCUCUUCCAGGAGGGAGUCUUGUACGCCAAGAAGGACUACAACCUGGCCAAGCACCCACAGGUCGAUGCCUUGAACCUCGAGGUCAUCAAGCUCAUGCAGAGCUUCAAGUCCAAGGAGUACGUCAGGGAGACCUUCUCGUGGCAGCACUACUACUGGUACCUGGCCAACGACGACAUUGAGUUCCUCCGCACCUUCCUCAACCUGUCAUCUGAGAUCGUGCCCAACACCCUCAAGAAGUCCGCCAAGCCCCCGUCCCGCCCCUUCGGCUCUAGCCCACCGGAUGACCGCCCCAGGUGA
rnacentral:rRNA from 1 species